ACAACAUGAUGGGGACACUUUCUAAUUAGAUCCUUAAGUCUCUCCCAGGUCUCAAGGAAUUGCUCACCAUCAACUUGUGAAAAACUAGUGAUGGAUCGCCUGAUUUG